ACUCAAAGGAAUUGACGGGGACCCGCACAAGCGGUGGAGCAUGUGGUUUAAUUCGAGGCAACGCGAAGAACCUUACCAGGCCUUGACAUGGAUAGUAUGGAUCUCAGAAAAGGGAUCCUUCAGUUUGGCUGGCUAUUCACAGGUGCUGCAUGGCUGUCGUCAGCUCGUGUCGUGAGAUGUUGGGUUAAGUCCCGCAACGAGCGCAACCCUUAUUCUUAGUUGCCAACAGGUCAAGCUGGGAACUCUAAGAAAACUGCCGGUGAUAAGCCGGAGGAAGGUGGGGAUGACGUCAAGUCUUCAUGGCCCUUACGGUCUGGGCUACACACGUGCUACAAUGGCGGUGACAAUGGGCAGCCAACCCGCGAGGGUGAGCUAAUCUCAAAACGCCGUCUCAGUUCGGAUUGCACUCUGCAACUCGAGUGCAUGAAGCUGGAAUCGCUAGUAAUCGUAGAUCAGCAUGCUACGGUGAAUACGUUCCCGGGUCUUGUACACACCGCCCGU
rnacentral:rRNA from 1 species